rnacentral:rRNA from 1 species
AACGAACGCUGGCGGCAUGCCUAACACAUGCAAGUCGAACGAGAUCCUUCGGGGUCUAGUGGCGCACGGGUGCGUAACGCGUGGGAAUCUGCCUUGGGGUUCGGAAUAACUCCCCGAAAGGGGUGCUAAUACCGGAUGAUGUCGAAAGACCAAAGAUUUAUCGCCCUGAGAUGAGCCCGCGUAGGAUUAGCUAGUUGGUGUGGUAAAGGCGCACCAAGGCGACGAUCCUUAGCUGGUCUGAGAGGAUGAUCAGCCACACUGGGACUGAGACACGGCCCAGACUCCUACGGGAGGCAGCAGUGGGGAAUAUUGGACAAUGGGCGAAAGCCUGAUCCAGCAAUGCCGCGUGAGUGAUGAAGGCCUUAGGGUUGUAAAGCUCUUUUACCCGGGAAGAUAA